GACAUAAUGCAACUAGCACGAUCUAAUAAUCACCACCACCACCACCACUAAACCCAGCUUUCUUGGGAGCUGGGUGUGGUCGCAGAGACCAGAGAGAAGCGACUGUUUACUAAAAACACAGGUCCGUGCGAAGACGUAAGUCGAUGUAUACGGACUGACGCCUGCCCGGUGCUGGAAGGUUAAGAGGACCGGUUAGCCGUAAGGCGAAGCUGAGAAUUUAAGCCCCAGUAAACGGCGGUGGUAACUAUAACCAUCCUAAGGUAGCGAAAUUCCUUGUCGGGUAAGUUCCGACCUGCACGAAUGGCGUAACGACUUCUCUGCUGUCUCGACCACAGACUCGACGAAAUUGCACUACGAGUAAAGAUGCUCGUUACGCGCGGCAGGACGAAAAGACCCCGGGACCUUUACUAUAGCUUGGUAUUGGCGUUCGAUUCGGUUUGUGUAGGAUAGGUGGGAGACUGGAAGCAUGCACGCCAGUGUGUGUGGAGUCGUUGUUGAAAUACCACUCUGAUCGUAUUGGACGUCUAACCUCGGCCCAUGAUCUGGGUUAGGGACAGUGCCUGGUGGGUAGUUUAACUGGGGCGGUUGCCUCCUAAAGAGUAACGGAGGCGCCCAAAGGUUCCCUCAGCCUGGAUGGCAAUCAGGUGUUGAGUGCAAGUGCACAAGGGAGCUUGACUGUGAGACUGACACGUCGAGCAGGGACGAAAGUCGGGACUAGUGAUCCGGCACCGGCAAGUGGAAGCGGUGUCGCUCAACGGAUAAAAGGUACCCCGGGGAUAACAGGCUGAUCUUCCCCAAGAGUCCAUAUCGACGGGAUGGUUUGGCACCUCGAUGUCGGCUCGUCGCAUCCUGGGGCUGGAGUAGGUCCCAAGGGUUGGGCUGUUCGCCCAUUAAAGCGGCACGCGAGCUGGGUUUAGAACGUCGUGAGACAGUUCGGUCUCUAUCCGCCGCGCGCGUAAGAAACUUGAGGAAGGCUGUCCCUAGUACGAGAGGACCGGGACGGACGAACCUCUGGUGUGCCAGUUGUUCCACCAGGAGCAUGGCUGGUUAGCUACGUUCGGAAGGGAUAACCGCUGAAAGCAUCUAAGCGGGAAGCCUGUUCCAAGAUGAGGUUUCUCACCACCUUGCGUGGUUAAGGCCCCCUACAGACCAUGGGGUUGAUAGGCCGGAACUGGAAGCGCAGCAAUGCGUGGAGGUGACCGGUACUAAUAGGCCGAGGGCU
rnacentral:rRNA from 1 species